GCAAAUCCGUUUCCCAUAAGGCUGAGCUGUGAUGGCGAGCGAAAUAUAGUAGCGAAGUUCCUGAUUCCACACUGCCAAGAAAAGCCUCUAGCGAGGUGAGAGGUGCCCGUACCGCAAACCGACACAGGUAGGCGAGGAGAGAAUCCUAAGGUGAUCGAGAGAACUCUCGUUAAGGAACUCGGCAAAAUGACCCCGUAACUUCGGGAGAAGGGGUGCUCUGUUAGGGUGCAAGCCCGAGAGAGCCGCAGUGAAUAGGCCCAGGCGACUGUUUAGCAAAAACACAGGUCUCUGCGAAGCCGUAAGGCGAAGUAUAGGGGCUGACGCCUGCCCGGUGCUGGAAGGUUAAGAGGAGCGCUUAGCGUAAGCGAAGGUGCGAAUUGAAGCCCCAGUAAACGGCGGCCGUAACAAUAACGGUCCUAAGGUAGCGAAAUUCCUUGUCGGGUAAGUUCCGACCUGCACGAAUGGCGUAAUGAUGGCCAGGCUGUCUCCACCCGAGACUCAGUGAAAUUGAACUCGCUGUGAAGAUGCAGUGUACCCGCGGCAAGACGGAAAGACCCCGUGAACCUUUACUAUAGCUUGACACUGAACAUUGAGCCUUGAUGUGUAGGAUAGGUGGGAGGCUUAGAAGUGUGGACGCCAGUCUGCAUGGAGCCGACCUUGAAAUACCACCCUUUAAUGUUUGAUGUUCUAACGUUGACCCGUAAUCCGGGUUGCGGACAGUGUCUGGUGGGUAGUUUGACUGGGGCGGUCUCCUCCUAAAGAGUAACGGAGGAGCACGAAGGUUGGCUAAUCCUGGUCGGACAUCAGGAGGUUAGUGCAAUGGCAUAAGCCAGCUUGACUGCGAGCGUGACGGCGCGAGCAGGUGCGAAAGCAGGUCAUAGUGAUCCGGUGGUUCUGAAUGGAAGGGCCAUCGCUCAACGGAUAAAAGGUACUCCGGGGAUAACAGGCUGAUACCGCCCAAGAGUUCAUAUCGACGGCGGUGUUUGGCACCUCGAUGUCGGCUCAUCACAUCCUGGGGCUGAAGUAGGUCCCAAGGGUAUGGCUGUUCGCCAUUUAAAGUGGUACGUGAGCUGGGUUUAAAACGUCGUGAGACAGUUUGGUCCCUAUCUGCCGUGGGCGUCGAUAAUUGAGAGGAGUUGACCCUAGUACGAGAGGACCGGGUUGAACGUACCUCUGGUGUACCUGUCGUCGUGCCAACGGCGCAGCAGGGUAGCUAUGUACGGACGGGAUAACCGCUGAAAGCAUCUAAGCGGGAAGCCU
rnacentral:rRNA from 1 species